rnacentral:rRNA from 1 species
UUUAAGCUGCAGUUCUGUGCAGUCGAGCGGUAGAGAGAAGCUUGCUUCUCUUGAGAGCGGCGGACGGGUGAGUAAUGCCUAGGAAUCUGCCUGGUAGUGGGGGAUAACGCUCGGAAACGGACGCUAAUACCGCAUACGUCCUACGGGAGAAAGCAGGGGACCUUCGGGCCUUGCGCUAUCAGAUGAGCCUAGGUCGGAUUAGCUAGUUGGUGAGGUAAUGGCUCACCAAGGCGACGAUCCGUAACUGGUCUGAGAGGAUGAUCAGUCACACUGGAACUGAGACACCGGUUUCCCAGAACUUCCUACGGAAGGCAGGCACGUGGGGAAUAUUGGACAAUGGGCGAAAGCCUGAUCCAGCCAUGCCGCGUGUGUGAAGAAGGUCUUCGGAUUGUAAAGCACUUUAAGUUGGGAGGAAGGGCAGUUACCUAAUACGUAUCUGUUUUGACGUUACCGACAGAAUAAGCACCGGCUAACUCUGUGCCAGCAGCCGCGGUAAUACAGAGGGUGCAAGCGUUAAUCGGAAUUACUGGGCGUAAAGCGCGCGUAGGUGGUUUGUUAAGUUGGAUGUGAAAUCCCCGGGCUCAACCUGGGAACUGCAUUCAAAACUGACAAGCUAGAGUAUGGUAGAGGGUGGUGGAAUUUCCUGUGUAGCGGUGAAAUGCGUAGAUAUAGGAAGGAACACCAGUGGCGAAGGCGACCACCUGGACUGAUACUGACACUGAGGUGCGAAAGCGUGGGGAGCAAACAGGAUUAGAUACCCUGGUAGUCCACGCCGUAAACGAUGUCAACUAGCCGUUGGGAGCCUUGAGCUCUUAGUGGCGCACCUAACGCAUUAACUUUGACCGCCUGGGGAGUACGGCCGCAACGUUAAAACUCAAAUGAAUUGACGGGGGCCCGCACAAGCGGUGGAGCAUGUGGUUUAAUUCGAAGCAACGCGAAAAACCUUACCACGCCUUGACAUCCAAUGCAACUUUCCAGAGAUGGAUUGGUGCCGUUCGGGUAACAUUGAGACAGGUGCUGCAUGGCUGUCGUCAGCUCGUGUCGUGACAUGCUCUGGGUUAAGUCCCGUAACAAGCGCAACCCAUUGUUCCUUACUUACCAGCACGUGAUGGUGGGUUCACUUCUUAAGGAGACUGCAGGUGACAAACGCGGACGGAACGUGGGAAUGAAGGUCAAGUCAUCAAUGGCCCUUUUACGACCUGGGCUACACACGUGCUACAAUGGUCGGUACAGAGGGUUGCCAAGCCGCGAGGUGGAGCUAAUCCCAGAAAACCGAUCGUAGUCCGGAUCGCAGUCUGCAACUCGACUGCGUGAAGUCGGAAUCGCUAGUAAUCGCGAAUCAGAAUGUCGCGGUGAAUACGUUCCCGGGCCUUGUACACACCGCCCGUCACACCAUGGGAGUGGGUUGCACCAGAAGUAGCUAGUCUAACCUUCGGGAGGACGGUACCAGAUGGGACCGGUCUC